GAGUCUGUAGCUCCGUUGGAUAGAGCAACGGCCUUCUAAGCCGUGGGUCGGGGGUUCGAAUCCCUUCAGGCUCG
rnacentral:tRNA from 1 species